GACAGAGGUCCCGAGCGUUAGGCGGAAUCACUGGGCUUAAAGCGUGUGUAGGCGGAUCGUUAAGUGCCUUGUGAAAUCCCAUGGCUUAACCGUGGAACUGCUUGGCAUACUGGCGGUCUUGAGCCACUUAGGGGCAACCGGAACAAAAGGUGGAGCGGUGAAAUGCGUAGAUAUCGUAAGGAAGACCAGUGGCGAAGGCGGGUCUCUGGACAGUUCCUGACGCUGAGGCACGAAGGUCAGGGGAGCAAACGGG
rnacentral:rRNA from 1 species